rnacentral:tRNA from 1 species
GGCUGCUUCGGACAGGUUUUGCAGGAUCGCGCAGUCUUGCGACGGCUGCGACUGGUCGCACUGGUGGCGCAGGGUCACCAGUUGCUGC